rnacentral:rRNA from 1 species
ACCCGCACAAGCGGUGGAUGAUGUGGAUUAAUUCGAUGCAACGCGAAAAACCUUACCUACCCUUGACAUGUCUGGAAUCCCGAAGAGAUUUGGGAGUGCUCGCAAGAGAACCGGAACACAGGUGCUGCAUGGCUGUCGUCAGCUCGUGUCGUGAGAUGUUGGGUUAAGUCCCGCAACGAGCGCAACCCUUGUCAUUAGUUGCUACGAAAGGGGCACUCUAAAUGAGACUGCCGGUGACAAACCGGAGGAAGGUGGGGAUGACGUCAAGUCCUCAUGGCCCUUAUGGGUAGGGCUUCACACGUCAUACAAUGGUCGGGACAGAGGGUCGCCAACCCGCGAGGGGGAGCCAAUCCCAGAAACCCGAUCGUAGUCCGGAUUGCAGUCUGCAACUCGACUGCAUGAAGUCGGAAUCGCUAGUAAUCGCGGAUCAGAAUGUCGCGGUGAAUACGUUCCCGGGUCUU